GCCCCGGUAGCUCAGUCCGGCAGAGCGGCGGGCUGCAGACCCGUAGGUCCCGGGUUCAAAUCCCGGCCGGGGCU
rnacentral:tRNA from 3 species